AACGCACCUUGCGCCCUUUGGUAUUCCGAAGGGCAUGCCUGUUUGAGUGUCAUGAAAACCUCAUCCUAAGGGUUUCCUUAGAAUGGACUUGGCUGUUGCCUAAUGGCUUGGCUUAAAUGACUUAGCGGUGGACGCGUUGCACUAAGCGUAAUAAGUUUCGCUUUCUGUAAAGUGGUCGCUGCUUCCAACCUGAACUUCGGUUCACUUUAAUCUUCGACCUCAAAUCAGGUAGGACUACCCGCUGAACUUAA
rnacentral:misc_RNA from 1 species